UACGUAGGUGGCAAGCGUUGUUCGGAAUUAUUGGGCGUAAAGGGCGCGUAGGCGGUUUGUUAAGUCAGCUGUGAAAUCUCCGAGCUUAACUCGGAACUGUCAGCUGAUACUGAUGUGCUAGAGUGCGGAAGGGGCAAUCGGAAUUCUUGGUGUAGCGGUGAAAUGCGUAGAUAUCAAGAGGAACACCUGAGGUGAAGACGGGUUGCUGGGCCGACACUGACGCUGAGUGCGCGAAAGCCAGGGGAGCAAACGGG
rnacentral:rRNA from 1 species